rnacentral:misc_RNA from 1 species
UCUCCGUUGGUGAACCAGCGGAAGGAUCAUUAUUGUAUAACCGAGGUGCGAGGGCUGUCGCUGACCCGAAAGGUCGUGCACGCCCGAGUGCCCUCACACACAUCCAUCUCACCCCUAUGUGCACCACCGCGUGGGUCCCCCUUUGGCUUGUUCGGAGGGGGGCUUACGUUUUCACACAAACUUUGUAUGCAGUGUAGAAUGUAUUUUUUGUUUUUGCGAUCACGCAAUCAAUACAACUUUCAACAACGGAUCUCUUGGCUCUC